rnacentral:rRNA from 1 species
GAUGAACGCUAGCGGCAGGCCUAACACACGCAAGUCGAGGGGUAGAAGGAGCUUGCUCCUUUGAGACCGGCGCACGGGUGCGUAACGCGUAUGCAAUCUACCUUUUACAGAGGGAUAGCCCAGAGAAAGUUGGAUUAAUACCUCAUAGUAUAUAUCAUUCGCAUGUUUGGUAUAUUAAAGUUCCAACGGUAAAAGAUGAGCAUGCGUCCCAUUAGUUAGUUGGUAAGGUAACGGCUUACCAAGACGAUGAUGGGUAGGGGUCCUGAGAGGGAGAUCCCCCACACUGGUACUGAGACACGGACCAGACUCCUACGGGAGGCAGCAGUGAGGAAUAUUGGUCAAUGGACGCAAGUCUGAACCAGCCAUGCCGCGUGCAGGAAGACGGUCCUAUGGAUUGUAAACUGCUUUUGUACGGGAAGAAACACUCCUACGUGUAGGAGCCUGACGGUACCGUAAGAAUAAGGAUCGGCUAACUCCGUGCCAGCAGCCGCGGUAA